rnacentral:rRNA from 1 species
GCCGCGGUAAUACGUAGGGUGCAAGCGUUAAUCGGAAUUACUGGGCGUAAAAGCGUGCCGCAGGCGGCUAUGCAAGACUGAUGUGAAAUCCCCGGGCUCAACCUGGGAACUGCAUUAGUGACUGCAUAGCUGGAGUGCGGCAGAGGGGGAUGGAAUUCCGCGUGUAGCAGUGAAAUGCGUAGAUAUGCGGAGGAACACCGAUGGCGAAGGCAAUCCCCUGGGCCUGCACUGACGCUCAUGCACGAAAGCGUGGGGAGCAAACAGGAUUAGAUACCCUGGUAGUCCACGCCCUAAACGAUGUCAACUGGUUGUUGGGAAUUUAUUUUCUCAGUAACGAAGCUAACGCGUGAAGUUGACCGCCUGGGGAGUACGGUCGCAAGACUAAAACUCAAAGGAAUUGACGGGGACCCGCACAAGCGGUGGAUGAUGUGGUUUAAUUCGAUGCAACGCGAAAAACCUUACCCACCUUUGACAUGUACGGAAGUA